GAUGGGCUCAUGUCCUAUCAGCUUGUUGGCAGGGUAACGGCCUACCAAGGCUUUGACGGGUAGCUGGUCUGAGAGGACGAUCAGCCACACUGGCACUGCGACACGGCCCAGACUCCUACGGGAGGCAGCAGUGGGGAAUCUUGCGCAAUGGGCGAAAGCCUGACGCAGCAACGCCGCGUGGGGGAUGAAGGCCCUCGGGUUGUAAACCCCUUUCAGCAGGGACGAAUCUGACGGUACCUGCAGAAGAAGCCCCGGCCAACUACGUGCCAGCAGCCGCGGUAAUACGUAGGGGGCGAGCGUUGUCCGGAUUUAUUGGGCGUAAAGAGCUCGUAGGCGGCUUGGCAAGUCGGGUGUGAAACCUCCAGGCUUAACCUGGAGACGCCACUCGAUACUGCCAUGGCUAGAGUCCGGUAGGGGACCACGGAAUUCCUGGUGUAGCGGUGAAAUGCGCAGAUAUCAGGAGGAACACCGGUGGCGAAGGCGGUGGUCUGGGCCGGCACUGACGCUGAGGAGCGAAAGCGUGGGUAGCAAACAGGAUUAGAUACCCUGGUAGUCCACGCCGUAAACGUUGGGCACUAGGUGU
rnacentral:rRNA from 1 species